rnacentral:rRNA from 1 species
AUCCUACGGGAGGCAGCAGUGGGGAAUAUUGCACAAUGGGGGGAACCCUGAUGCAGCGACGCCGCGUGAGUGAAGAAGUAUUUCGGUACGUAAAGCUCUAUCAGCAGGGAAGAAAAAAGGACGGUACCUGACUAAGAAGCCCCGGCUAACUACGUGCCAGCAGCCGCGGUAAUACGUAGGGGGCAAGCGUUAUCCGGAUUUACUGGGUGUAAAGGGAGCGUAGACGGCAGCGCAAGUCUGGAGUGAAAUGCCGGGGCCCAACCCCGGAACUGCUCUGGAAACUGUGAAGCUGGAGUGCAGGAGAG